CAAAUUCUCGCCGCUGACAUCUGUCGGAGUUCUCGUGACAGUCGCCAAGAAUUUCGCCGAGCUAUCUUUUCGGAGAACUAGCUUAGCAAGUGAGAACUCCUUGCCAGGGAAAAUCUUACGAGUAUAAAUUGUGAGUGCAACCACAAGGUUGGUUAUCAAUCUAUGAGGCCCAGAUUGUGCAGUCACCGUUCUACCAGUUUCAGCCAGAAGAAAUUCGACCAGUUCGAGUCACAGAAACCAACAAGCGGGCGAAGGCAGGCCUCACAUCAGGCACCAUCGGGACGGCUCGCACUGCAGCAGAUGCGGUCCAGGCUGGGGCGUGAUUAACCGC
rnacentral:misc_RNA from 1 species